rnacentral:tRNA from 1 species
GGGCCGUUAGCUCAGUGGCAGAGCAGGGGGCUUUUAACCCUCGUGUCGAAGGUUCGAUCCCUUCACGGCCCACCG